rnacentral:rRNA from 1 species
ACAAUGAAGAGUUUGAUCCUGGCUCAGGAUGAACGCUAGCGGCAGGCCUAACACAUGCAAGUCGAGGGGCAUCACGGAAAAGCUUGCUUUUCUGGUGGCGACCGGCGCACGGGUGCGGAACGCGUAUGGAACCUGCCCCUGUCAGGGGAAUAGCCCAGGGAAACUUGGAUUAAUGCCCCAUGGUACCGUUAUAUCGCAUGAUAUUGCGGUUAAAGAUUUAUCGGACAGGGAUGGCCAUGCGUACCAUUAGUUAGUUGGUGAGGUAACGGCUCACCAAGGCAGCGAUGGUUAGGGGCCCUGAGAGGGGGAUCCCCCACACUGGUACUGAGACACGGACCAGCCUCCUCCGGGUGGCCGCAGUGCGGAAUCGUGCGCUUUGGGCGAAAGCCUGACGCAGCCACGCCGCGUGCCGGAAGACGGCCCUAUGGGUUGUAAACGGCUUUUUAAUGGGAAGAACGCCCGGGUUUCGACCUGGGGUGACGGUACCAUUGGAAUAAGGACCGGCUAACUCCGUGCCAGCAGCCGCGGUAAUACGGAGGGUCCGAGCGUUAUCCGGAAUCAUUGGGUUUAAAGGGUCCGUAGGUGGAUAAUUAAGUCAGAGGUGAAAGUCUGCAGCUCAACUGUAGAAUUGCCUUUGAUACUGGUUAUCUUGAGUUAUUAUGAAGUAGUUAGAAUAUGUAGUGUAGCGGUGAAAUGCAUAGAUAUUACAUAGAAUACCAAUUGCGAAGGCAGAUUACUAAUAAUAUACUGACACUGAUGGACGAAAGCGUGGGGAGCGAACAGGAUUAGAUACCCUGGUAGUCCACGCCGUAAACGAUGGUUACUAGCUGUUCGGACUUCGGUCUGAGUGGCUAAGCGAAAGUGAUAAGUAACCCACCUGGGGAGUACGUUCGCAAGAAUGAAACUCAAAGGAAUUGACGGGGGCCCGCACAAGCGGUGGAGCAUGUGGUUUAAUUCGAUGAUACGCGAGGAACCUUACCAGGGCUUAAAUGCAGUACGACAGGUCUAGAGAUAGACUUUUCUUCGGACGGAUUGCAAGGUGCUGCAUGGUUGUCGUCAGCUCGUGCCGUGAGGUGUCAGGUUAAGUCCUAUAACGAGCGCAACCCCUGUUGUUAGUUGCCAGCGAGUCAAGUCGGGAACUCUAACAAGACUGCCGGUGCAAACCGUGAGGAAGGUGGGGAUGACGUCAAAUCAUCACGGCCCUUAC